CCGGCCCAAAGAAUAUUUUUCAAAUAGUACGCAGUAUAGGAGGCGACCUCCACCGCCGCCAUUAGCGUCCAAGCUUCCCUGUCUUUUAAUCGGAAUCAUCCCUUCGGCGUUGCUGCCGCCCCGUCGCCCUCUACCGCCGCUGUCUCCGGUGCCGGUGCUGUUCAGCCUGCUAAUAACCGGAAGGUGGAGAACUCGCCCGAUGGGGAACUCGAAGAAGAGCGGCGCCGGAGAUAAGAUUGGGCGGCGAAAGCGCUAGCCCCAACCCUCCGCCGCCGGUGAAGGCGGAUGCCGAGCCUGUCACUGCGGUGGCGCCGCCACCCGCUAGAGUUUCCUCAAUCUCCUACAUCUUCUCCUCCA
rnacentral:lncRNA from 1 species